UCUAUUUAGAUCUGCAACAUUUUUUUUUGUAAUUCAUAUCCUAUUCUUCGUUUGUUUUUUUGUUUUUUUUUUAAUGUUCGUAAAAUAACCUCACUUAUGAUUCGAUAAACAAUUUCGAAAUAUUCCCUGCACAAUAAUUUCAUAACUUCUAUAAUAUCAGACAACAGCCGCCACCCCCACCCCCACUCCCAAAAAAUGAAGAGAACAGACAAAAAAUAAAUAUGUAUGCAAAAGUAACGCAUGACCCACACAUACACAAUGACUCCCAACCUUCAUCUCACUCUCUCACCUUCUCUCUCUUUCUCUCUCCACCCUCCCUCUAUCUCUCUCUCUCUCUCUCUCUCCCACACACACUCACAGAAAUGCUCUCAAACAUAUAAGCACAUACAUACGCAUAUUCACUCACACUCACACACACACUAAUAUACGCAAGCGAAACAAACCAGCUGACAUCGAGGACAAGCUGCCAUCGCAUCGACUCAAAAUUUCCACGUAUUGUACAGACAGGCCUCCAUCCACUGUGUUAUACUUUCAGGAACAAUUACGAUACGGAUUACAUUUGGAUUCGCCUCGGAUUUAGCAGUGCAUUACAUUUAGGAUUCAAACUGUGAAACUGAAGGAACAAAUUAUCUGUGAUCAAACCUGUUGGGAGACGAUCUCCCUUAGAUCUCAAAAUGUUGAAGACGUUGACGUAUAUUACGAUUCCAUCAAGAAUUUGAAGACCCAAGUAUACGGCAGCACAUGAAGUAACAUUAUGGAUGCAGCCAACAUAUGCAGUUUAUAGAUCCAGUAUGGAGCAAACACGUCUUCGGACAACCUAUCUGUACAAGCAACGUUCCUGUCUGCUACCAACGCUACUGUCUACUACCAAAGCUUUGGUCCGCCCGAGGUUAAACAGAAGAUAAUUGCCCAGGUUGCCAUGCAGUGAGACUGAACAGGAACCCAACAGUUGGGAAGCAGGCUUUACCAUACCAUACAGCCACGCCUAUUUCUUUAUCUAUCUAUACACACACACACAUACAUAUCUAUAUAUAUAUAUAUAUAUAUAUAUAUAUUCCUUAUUCUUGUUUUAGAAUCUAAUGCGACAAAUAAAGAAAAUGGUAUUUCACAUAUAUCAUCGCCGAAUUGACAAAUGAACACACCAGCUUUUAUGCAGUUAUUUAUUUUUACUAUUUUACUGCUUAAGACGUAAAAUGACUGUCAGCAUAAACUCUCUUUUGAUAAAUCCGUAUUUGUCUCUCUGCCUAUGUCGUUCUCUUUUUGCUUCAUUAUCUCUAACAUGUAUAUACAUAUACAAUAUGAUAUAGUAUAAUAUUAUAUUAUAUUGUAUGUAUAUCCCGUAUAUAUUAUAGCUCUUUUUGCAACCCUUCAA